rnacentral:SRP_RNA from 2 species
GGAGGUUGGCGUUAGGACAGACCACUCGCCAACCGGGUCAGGUCCGGAAGGAAGCAGCCCCAACGAGAUUCCGGUCUGGGUUUAUAGUUCAAUCUCCCAC